rnacentral:misc_RNA from 1 species
GGAUUUUCAAAUGAAGUGGGCGUUUGAAACUCUGCAAAGAUAUCGUAAAAGGUUUUGCAUGUUUAAUGAUGAUAUACAGGGAACUGCUGGUGUUGCACUGGCGGGGUUGCUUGGAACUGUAAGAGCCCAAGGGUGACUUUGUGAACCAAAAGAUAGUUGUAGUGGGGGCUGGGAGUGCCGGGCUUGGGGUCCUGAAUGUGGCCGUACAGGCUGUUUCAAGAUUGUCUGGGUG